AUAUAAUCCAGAUAGUAGCGUCAUCCUUUGUGGUUGUAGUUCAACCAAGGCAGCUAUAGCGAAUAGCUGGAAAUAGC
rnacentral:sRNA from 1 species